rnacentral:rRNA from 1 species
CUUUCAUUAUUUUUGUACAAGUGUUUAACUAAGUAUAUAGAGUACUAGGUUUGUAGAUGAAUCCGCAUUGGAGUACGUAAAUGACAAAGUGUAUUCUUUAGAUUUAUUAAGACAUUGAUUUUUAUACUUUUCGUCGUAAGGUGAUACCCAUACCUUGUUGCUCUAUGUAAUUGAAAUAUGAAAUGAUAAGAUUUAUUGUUUCACUAUCGUCUAUCAUGUAUUUAUAUCGUGGUUCAGGAAGUGGGGGUAUAGGCCCAUUGUUAUAGAAACAUACCGUGUUGUAGGAAAGGCCAAGAUCGAAUAAGAGGUGGGCACAAAGACUUGGUAAAAGGGGUUCAUUGUUGUUUCAACUGUAUGUGGAACAGUAUAUCGAGCAGUUUGUCGUGCUUUAUUCGUACAGAGGUAGAGAAGUACUUGUCUUCAGGUGUUUUAUGGUAGGUUUGCGGACGGUGUUUAGGGUGUUAAUUGGGUUCUUCAUUUAGGCAACCUCUAUCUGGGGGAAACACGGUAGAAUGUCUUAGAGGCACCCAACCAAGCAGAAGUCCUCCCGGUCCUGUAACGGAACCUCAGCCUAUAGGUGUUUCUCAACCUAGUAGACGUAACUCCUACAGUUCAACUACGGGGCACCCGUGAGAAGGACUCUCUAAUAAUAUACUGUUUAAAUCUAUCGAGUUUAUACAGUUUAGACUAUUCGGGGUUCCUUAAAGUGGUCGUUCGAAUAAGAAGCUUUCCAGUUCUCUGAGCUCACUAACUUCUAGUGGUUAGAAUAGCCCCUAUUAAGGUGAGUUGUUCAAACUACUAUUUAAGUCUAAAUACUCUGGUUAUUCUCUCGAAUCAAGGAGACCUUAAAGAGGUCAAUUUGACAACGUACUAUUUAGUUACGAGUAGUCUAUAUGCCAUAAGAGGAACAUCAGUUCGUGAACGGGAAAAUAAUGGUGACUAUUCGAUAGUAGCCUGACAGAGAGUUCUCACCUGUGUGGGAGCAAAAGUCUAUAAAGUAGCUUUCCUGACAGGGUUAGACCUAGAUUCCGGAAUCGUCACGGUGAGUUUCGAAACUCCAGUAGGUCUCUAACACCAUAAUGUGGUCUUUUCAACAACAAUCUAUCUAGAUUUUAUGCUUCUCGUCCUUCAAGGCAAUAGACUAUACCUUACACUGGUCUUUUCAACAAACUAGAAUUGGCAUCGUAAUGGUUGUUUCCGUACAGAAGUGGUUAGGCACAUCCAUCCAAAGGUGACUUAAACAAAGCUGAAUCUAGCUCCUUUGCGUUUGGAGCCGUAAAGGAGUCCUUAUUUCCUUUAGGUGGACUUUCUGACAACAACGAAUGUUCCUCCUAUCAAUAAGCGUUUGAUCUACUUGUACACCUUGACUGUAAACUUCUCAAGAACGAUCUACGAAAUGUAACGAAAUCGAGGAAAGACGGUGUUAGUCCUUCAAGGGGAUGUUCGACUAACAAACUUUCUAGAUUCUAGGCGUCAACACCGGUAACUGUUUAGCUCCAACCUUAUCACGGCCAGUAUCUUAAACUUUUCUGUUGGCGUUGGACAUUUACACCUCGAAGGUUUAAACUGCUGUGCUUGGGUAAAUUCCUCAAAGAUCUCUACAGGUUAUGAAGUUAACAAGAACCGUUAAAGCCAUGGUUUGGUCAAUCUGUUAAACUCACGUCUAUUUCACAAUAGUGACUGUACUUGAGGUUCAACUACCCAUUCAACGGCGAUUCAACCAAACUCCUGUACAGGUUUACAAGGCGCGGUGUUUUCCAACAGGUUUUGGUUACACCUUAGGAUCAUUAAUCUGGGCACAAACUUUACAGUUCCAGACUUUACGGUAAAACGGGAGCUUCGGUAACUCCUUUAGGCCCUGGGUUGACUGUUCUAGGUUUGGUACGUUAUAGGUUGGACUUACCACAAAAGGUCGGGCUCAGGUACCGCUGGAAGUUUAAUCCCGUUCUGUUCAGUUCAUAGAAGUUCAAACAUUCUGGUCGCUUUACUAGAAGACUAUAGUGUGGUGAGUUCAACAACGGUGGUUCGUUGUUAAGACAGUUUAAACAGUCACACCGUUAGAGGUGUCCGUUCCCUGACGAGUUCACCAAUAGUGGCCGUACUUAACAAGAAUACGACCAAUCCAAAUCGUUUCUUAAAUUACAGCACGGCCACUGCAAACGGAGGCUGUUUAUUUUGAGAACGUUUUAGAAGUUUCUUGUUAAGCCUUUGGAGAGGUAAUUCAGACUAUACAGGGGUGGCUACAAUAACAUCGACUCCGGAUCUCUGAAGUUAAAUGUGUAUAAAAGGUAACAAUGGCCAUAGUAGGCCAACUAUAAUAAUUUAGGGUCCAGUUCCCAGAGAUUGUUCCAGUUCAAAGCGUUGUGUAAUCCUUUACUUGGACUAUUAGGUGUAAGAUUAUCCUAAUCGGAAAACUCCGAUCAAUGUGGGGUUUUGGUCAAACUACGUCGUUCCGAUAGAUUUCUCAAUAUCCUUUCCAGUUCAAGGAGUUCUUGACAUUCCAACAUCACAUGUUCACUGCCUCACAAUAAAACUUCCAAUGUGGUUAGCUCUAAGUCAUGUUGGUUUGACCCUUCUCGCAAGUCGCUUACUUGGGUCAGUCAGCGACGAAAUUCCAGGUGUCUCGGGUAUAGUUCUACGAGGUCACUCAUCUCUGCACGAUUGGUUCUAUAUAGGUACCUCACAUCCGACAUGUCUGUUCUUAAUACCGAAUACAGUUCCACAUGGUCAAACCUCUCCAACGGAUCGACUCCUCCGUGAGACGGUGUCUUUAAGUACAACCUCUCCAACUCCAUAUGGUUAGAGAGCUCUCUUGGGUACUUUAGACCAUAUCCGUAGGUAAGUGGAGGCUCUUUCAAGGGCGAUUCUAGAUCUACGAACUCCACAACCUCUCGUUCGUUACUUCUUCUAUGGACAGGGGCGUAGCUUGCUCUUGCUCGAAACCCUUUUGGUUACUUUAGGAAGCGCCUCUUUAGUAACGCGUCCAGGUCGAACUACUGCACCGGUCAGGUCAACAACGUGGAAUGUGGCGAGGUCACCGUCGUCAGUACCGGCACGGUACUCUGCUACGCUAAUCGACCCAGCGAUCACUGCGGCCGAAACUUCCUCUCGUCGCGCCGGGAGAGCCGCCGCUACGUGGGAGGCAACCCAUAUAGUGAGCGUACCCGUCUCUCGUGCCACUGAUACCACCUCCGACGUCGAUCCUACUCCUUCUCCGUCGACACACUCCUCCCAGCGCAUCAACACCGGUAACAUAACAAGACAAGACGGACCACACACACACACACACCCGCAGUUCGACUCCGUUGGAAACGUUGUGCUCGUCCCCUCCUUUAAAGGUGGCACGAAGGGAAUUAACAACAGUAACCUUUUUUAGUUGUCAGUUCUUCCGACCCCGGAUCUGAUGACAUCCAUCGUUAGUCAAAAUGACAAACUUUCUAAUCAGACGACCACACCUUCUUGCCUCCUUCCUCUCGUGAGCGACGGUGAUAGAAGCAUGAUGUAAAGUUACCUAGCAAAUCCAAAGAUACCUAGUGCUACCUUAAACCUCGUAGUUGUGACAUGUAAAGUUCCGCGAGUGGGGACUCGACGUCACUGGGAAGUAGUGGUGACUGUUGCUACACCACGUCGUGAGCAGUAACCGACGAAGAAAGCGGCGACAGCACCAGGCCCACAUCACCACGGCGAAAUCGAACGCGAAAGACCUACUUGACUACUCCACUACCACCACGAUUCGACUACUUAAAUAUGUCUACUCCCCCUUCCUUCUCUUCUCUUGUUACGUCAAAUCCACGUCGAUAGGACUGUCCAACCGUUCCCUGUCUCGGUACUCGAGUUUUGUACGUUAUAAUUACGGCAUUCACGUUCCCGUCCGUCACACUAGAACUAAUCUAAAGAGACCCCGGUAGACAAACGGUGAACAACCCCUGCUAUAAUCGUCCAGAGAACAGAACCCAUACGAACCUCUGUAGUAUCAUACGAGGGUAUGAGUGGACAAAAUCACCGUUUCUGUUAUCCGUACGUGCUUAAUCCAGGUUAAGAUAAACACAACACUCCAUGACACGUGUGAUUAUUAAUACUCAAUAACUACUAACGUAGGAUA